rnacentral:rRNA from 1 species
UACGUAGGUGGCAAGCGUUUGUCCGGAUUUACUGGGCGUAAAGAGCGCGCAGGCGGUCGUACAAGUCGCGUGUGAAAGCCCCCCGGCUCAACUGGGGGAGGGUCACGCGAUACUGUUCGACUCGAAGGCAGGAGAGGGAAGCAGAAUUCCCCGGUGUAGUGGUGAAAUGCGUAGAUAUCGGGAGGAAUACCAGUGGCGAAGGCGGCUUCCUGGCCUGUUCUUGACGCUGAGGCGCGAAAGCUAGGGUAGCAAACGGG